rnacentral:lncRNA from 10 species
AUGACUUGGAGGAAUGAAUGAAUGAUGAGUGAAUGAGCUCUUUGAUCUUCUCUUGGUGCCGGACAGGGCAGAGAGUGUAAUCCCCAUUUUACCGAGGCUGAGAGGGAGAAGUGCCUCUCCCAUGAUCACACACAUUUCAGGCUGGCCCGCCUGUCCAGCUGGCGGGUUCAUGCGGGGCUGGUCAGCCACAGUGCCGUCAGGCCCCACCAAGGGGCUCUGGUGGAGAGGAUUAUCCCACACCCCCUCUACAGUGCCCAGAAUCAUGACUACGACGUCGCCCUCCUGAGGCUCCAGACCGCUCUCAACUUCUCAGACACUGUGGGCGCUGUGUGCCUGCCGGCCAAGGAACAGCAUUUUCCGAAGGGCUCGCGGUGCUGGGUGUCUGGCUGGGGCCACACCCACCCUAGCCAUACUUACAGCUCGGAUAUGCUCCAGGACACGGUGGUGCCCUUGUUCAGCACUCAGCUCUGCAACAGCUCUUGCGUGUACAGCGGAGCCCUCACCCCCCGCAUGCUUUGCGCUGGCUACCUGGACGGAAGGGCUGAUGCAUGCCAGG